rnacentral:lncRNA from 1 species
GAGGGAAGAGGAAAAGCGUCUUCUCCCCGCGCCGACGCCAAAGACGCGGCACCGCCUGGGCCUAAGAGGCUUUGCCGCCGGCCCAGCCCAGGUGUGCCGCCUGCCGGGCCACACUUUGGUCUUACAAAGAGCAGUGGUACCUGGGUCUGGGUGCUUUAGGCGGCAGGAGGUAGCCUGGCAGGAGAUCUACCCAGCCCCCAUGGGUGGUGCCCACUCACUGGGGCCUUGGAGCCCGCAGGGUGGAUCCUCAGAGCAGAACCAGCCAGCAUCCUAGCCUUUGCUGGUGCUUUUAUUACCAUUUGAGGCCUUGGUCCUGGGAGUCUGAAGAGCCCUAGGGGCACAACUGCCCUGGCUCCACUGCUCCCUGAGUGCCUCACGCCAUGAAGAAGUUUGCAUCUAGCCGCAGCCUGAACAAGAUCUUGGCACAGUGUGACUCCUCUUCCAGAGAGUACGAGGAGGUCCAGGCAGUGGAGCGCAAGUGGCAUUUGCACCUGGCCACUCCGCGCCGCCUGCUGCUGGACCGGAGGGCCAAGGCCUCCCUCUUCUUUGCAGCCCCACCACCCCCAAAGAGGGCUCCCAGCACCACGCUGACCCUGCGGUCCAAGUCCAUGACGGCUGAGCUCGAGGAACUUGGUGAGCAUUUCGGGUGGGUGGACAGUGGGUGAGUGGCCAAAGUGGGGGUGGCUGCAGGUAGCAUGGGAGGGCGGUGGGACUGAACUGGGGGCUCAGACAGAAGGUAGAAAAGAUGGGUUUGGAGACAGAUCGGCAGUUAGGGGUGGGACUGGAGUGAUGGGGAAAAGUGGGUACCUUGGGUGAGGAGUGUGACAGCAAGGGAGGAGAUGAGGACUCGGCAGCAUGAGGAGCCGGAGUUGGUCAGGGACAAGGGGGACAGAUGGCUGGGGAACAAGGUCUGGCCCUGUAGCAUGCCCGCAUGCAUGCACAUGCAUGUGUGUGUGAGAGCUGUCCUCGGUUCUGUGCUUUUCCACUAAGACUUCGCAUUUUGAUUUAGCUGGCAGAGAGCAGUGGUAGAGCAACCUAGAGUCUGCUUCUGGAUCUGCCUGGCACGAGCCGGGUCACCUUUGUGCUUAUUUUUCUCGGUUGGUACCUGCUCACUUAUCUGCCGAGUGAGUCUACUGACCUAGUAGAGGUAUCUGUGAGCACCCCUAACACGGUGAGGGGGUGGGGCCUCGUGAACUGCAGGAGGUGGACAAAAACGUAUGUUAGUCUUUAAUGGGUACCCCAUCCUGACCUAGGGCGGCUGCCAGCUUUUAUUAUGGCCAUAUGCAUAACACAUAUCUCGUAUGCAUGCGCACAUGUAGGACAGUUUCCAGCCUUGUUAUAGGCAUGUCUCAUGUACAUGACUAUGAUGCUUUGACAUGUAUAGAAGUGUCCAGCCUCAUCAUGGGACGUGUCCCAUGUACAUGAGCCGCGCAUCUUGACAAAUAUAUGAGCUACCAGCCUUGUCGUGGGCACACGUCCCAUAUGCGUGACAUAUUUUGACACGUAUGCCAGUUAACCUUGUCAUGGGCAUGUCUCAUAUUCACAGCCAUGUCCUGAUAUGUGACAUUUGCCAGCCUCGUCAUAGGUAUGUCCUACAUGCAUGAUCACAUCUUGACACAUAGGACUGUUAUUAGUCUCAUCACAGGCAUGUGCAGAUAUAUGUGAUUUUAUUGUCAUUGUGGGCAUGUGCUAAUGUGUUUGACUGUUAAGAGCCUUAUUGUGGGUGCAUCGUAACUGUCAACAGUCCCGUGGUGGGUAUAUUCCAAUAUGUGUGACAGAUUGAAACACUCUUUGCUUUUGUGGUUUGAGCCUAGUCAAAUUCCCAGACUGUCUUCUGGCUUUUGUCCUAAAAGGAAACCCGUAUCCUGGCUCUCAGGACUAUCCCUGUCUUUUGCUUAUGGACUCAGUGUUGACCGUGUCCUGACCAUAGGCUGAGUUGCUACAUUCCAGGCAAUUGCCUUGACUGAAGUUUGGUUUGGUUUGGAAAACAGUUACCAAGAUAAAAGGGGCUGACGUGAGCAGGAUUUUCUACGAUAAACCUCCGAAUAAAAUAGAAAUUACGGAUAGUGUAGAGGAGGAGGAAUCCUGUGGUUUCAGAAAUAAAGCAGGAAACCAAAGCCAAAGGGAUAGGAACCAGGUACUUCCAGUUCCUGAUGGCGGCUCUCAAGGGCGGUGCUGUGGUCUGAAGCCCCUGUGAGGCUUGAAGAGGUGCUAUGGACUUGGAAAAGCCAGAAGCAACCAUAGAAUCUGGGAUUAGCAUAAAAAAAGGAGGGGCCGGGGUGAUGGGUCAACACUCAAGAGCGCUUGUUGCUCUUGAAGAGGACCCAGGUUUGGUUCCCAGCACCCACAUAGUGGGUCUCCACCAUCCAACCCUUCUCACCUCUGAGGCACCAGGCAUGAACAUGGUUACGCACACAUACAUGCAGACAGAAACACUCAAAAUAAUCUAAAAAAAAAUUUUUUUUUGAAAAGGACUGGAGAUAAAGAGCAUGAGGGUAAAGUAAAAGGUUUCAGUUAUAUAAAGGCAGGAAACGUCACAGAAUUAGUGAAAUUAGCAGGAUAGUGCGAACAACAGCAGCAAGGAAGUUUGCGAUGGUCCUUAACUUAUUGAAACAAACAAACAAACAAACAAACAAACAAGAAAGCUGCACACAGAAGAGUCUGUGGCUUGGAGACACAGAAUCCAGGACUU